UACGUAGGUGGCAAGCGUUGUCCGGAUUUAUUGGGUUUAAAGGGUGCGUAGGCGGCUUUGUAAGUCAGUGGUGAAAUACGGCAGCUCAACUGUCGAGGUGCCAUUGAUACUGCAGAGCUAGAGUACUGAUGAGGUAGGCGGAAUGGACGAUGUAGCGGUGAAAUGCUUAGAUAUCGUCCAGAACACCGAUAGCGAAGGCAGCUUACUAAAGAGUAACUGACGCUGAGGCACGAGAGCGUGGGGAGCAAACAGG
rnacentral:rRNA from 1 species